rnacentral:rRNA from 1 species
GCCCAGACUCCUACGGGAGGCAGCAGUGGGGGAUAUUGCACAAUGGGGGGAACCCUGAUGCAGCGACGCCGCGUGGGUGAAGGAGUGCUUCGGCAUGUAAAGCCCUAUCGGCAGGGAAGAAGCAAGACGGUACCUGACUAAGAAGCCCCGGCUAACUACGUGCCAGCAGCCGCGGUAAUACGUAGGGGGCAAGCGUUAUCCGGAUUUACUGGGUGUAAAGGGAGCGCAGACGGCAGUGCAAGUCUGGAGUGAAAGCCCGGGGCCCAACCCCGGAACUGCUCUGGAAACUGUGCGGCUAGAGUACUGGAGGGGCAGGCGGAAUUCCUAGUGUAGCGGUGAAAUGCGUAGAUAUUAGGAGGAACACCAGUGGCGAAGGCGGCCUGCUGGACAGUAACUGACGUUGAGGCUCGAAAGCGUGGGGAGCAAACAGGAUUAGAUACCCGGGUA